rnacentral:lncRNA from 1 species
CCCAAAGCAAUCAGUUAUUUUGCCAGUUGACUAUUUUCAGGUGCAAUUAUACUGAUUCUUCUGGUUCUAUUAAUGUGUGUUCUCCACUUUGAGAGGACUUUAACUGUACACAAGUAGAAAUCUCUUGAGCAGGAGCUCCUCUCUAUCCUGAUUAUGUGCUGGAAAACAGAGUUUAGAGUCUGCAUCCUUCACAAUCCUACUCCAACAAUCACAGACAAUUUUUCUGAGGGGCUGUAAAGACAAUAAGCAAAUAUCCAAGCUUUUAACUUCCAACAUUGGGAUUAACUCCUCCAGCUCCCAAAUUCCUCAAAUCACAAAGCAAUGAAAGCUUGAUCUUCUGUGAAUUAAAAUACACCCUCUCCACAUGAAAAGGCAUGUUUGUGAUGUCACAGAACAUGGAGGGUGCCCCAGACCAGGAAGUCAGGAAGAAAACUGAGUCUUUUCUUUCACACCUUUGUUUCAGCCACAAGUACUCUCUCAGAAGACCGAAUUUUGAAGCAGAUGGCCAGGACAGGAUCUGUGUGCUGCUUGUUCCUGGAAACAAGAGCUGACUCCCUUGUCACCUUGGAGCCUCCUGCACCAACAUCCCACACAAACCCAUCAGCCCUCUCCCAAACAUCAGGGAUCUGUAUUCCAGGCAGAGCUCAAAUGCACCAUUUGGCAUUACCAAGAGCUCCAAACCCUCCCAGGUGUUCUACAACAAACGAGCCUGUGAUUUCCUUGCAGCUACUGAGUGACUUGAAAUUCAGCAGCAUGAUGUGCUUGCAUCCACCCAACAGCCUCCAAACACUCUUUAUGGCUGUCAGGGAUCCAGGCACCAAGAGAAAACAUCACCUCAAUACUCAGAUCCUUCUAAUUCCAAAGCACCAGAAGUCAGGAGGACUGGAAUCAUGACCUUCAACAGGUAAGUUUGGGACUGAGCUAUGUAGAGAGGACUUUCAGCCUUCACAGUUACUUCCCAUAAAGUUACAGCUCUAAUGACAAAUUCCAGGUUCUUUUCCCAGCAACCAACUUUCCUAAGCAGAGAAAGGAGUAGUUACAUUCUCCAAGAAGAAAAGGCUCCUACAGAUAAAUUCUGUACAAAAACCUUGACUCACUGUUAUAACACGAGCUCAGCGUGGGGAUCAACCACCCCUUCCUUCACCCAUCACACCUGACACCACCAGCAGAGCCACAUUCUUGUUUGUCUCGUUCAGGGAGUAAAGAAGAGAGAUUAGUUUCUGAACAGAAAACUGAAAACAAUUCAACAGGUGCCAAGGACACCUGAAUGAAACACAGGGCUGCCCUACACUCCCAAAGAGCAUCAGAGGUCUGGGGUUUAUUUCCUAUUAGGCACUCUAACUCGGGCAAGGCUAAAAGUAAGGGAUCAGAGCUUGGGACAAGUAUAAAAGGGGAAGAAGCUGCGUUUUCAUUUUUCAUGAUGCUCUAUCACCCAGAAAUAGUGUUUGUUUUGCAUCAACUGCAGUCUCAAUUCUGACUUCUCCGUGGCACACUGGCUUCCAAUUUACAGUAGAAACCCUUCUGCUUUGCAUAGCAAGAAUGGUCCUGCUCACUGAAAUUAAACCCACAGGGAAUAGCAACAACUGUAUUUACUAUUUAGCUUUAGCUUUUCGGAAACAAAUAUUUUAAGUAGCUAAAAACUGAGUGUUUUCAGUUUCACACCAGUCCCCAUCUGAACCCCAGUGCCCCUGAGAGAGGGCUGCCUUGGUGUGACUUUUGGAAAAUUACAUUGAAACAAAAGCAAACAGCAUCAAAUGUUUUCACACGUGGCCAACCAUGAGAUUUACAUUUGGCCAAACAGAAACCUAAAGCACUUAGCAAAUGGGUCAUUUGAGUACAAAGCUGAAAUUCCUCUGGAGACUAAACGAGACUUUUCUACCUGGUAAUGCUAAAA